rnacentral:sRNA from 1 species
GCGCAGGGUCUGCUAUGGCGGCGGCAGCCGAGGGCGUCCUGGCGACCCGGCGUGAUGAGCCCGCCCGAGAUGGAGAAUGGAGCCGACUUGAUGGAAUGAAGGCAAGUGGAGGGAUGUCGGAACAGGCUGCUUUGGCUGGAUUAGCACCGGGUGUAGGCGGGACACUUAGUCAUUCUCCCUUGGCCCAGACGAUGCCGCCGUGGAGACAGCUGAGGAAGCAAAGGAGCCUGCUGAAGCUGACAUCACUGAGCUCUGCCGGGACAUGUUCUCCAAAAUGGCCACUUACCUGACUGGGGAACUGACGGCCACCAGUGAAGACUAUAAGCUCCUGGAAAAUAUGAAUAAACUCACCAGCUUGAAGUAUCUUGAAAUGAAAGAUAUUGCUAUAAACAUUAGUAGGAACUUAAAGGACUUAAACCAGAAAU